AGUUCAAAUGCUUUGUAAUCGGAAUGAUAGAAAUUUAAACCCUUUUUAAAGUAUCAAUUGGAGGGCAAGUCUGGUGCCAGCAGCCGCGGUAAUUCCAGCUCCAAUAGCGUAUAUUAAAAUUGUUGCAGUUAAAAAGCUCGUAGUUGAAGUUCUGCUAAAAGUAACCGGUCUGCUUUGAAUAAAAGUGGUAUCUUGGUAUGUAUUUAGCAAUGAUGUCCUUUGAAGUGUUUUUUACUUUAUUGUAAUAAAGCAUAUUCAGGACUUUUACUUUGAGAAAAUUAGAGUGUUUCUAGCAGGCCAACGCUUUGAAUACUGCAGCAUGGAAUAAUAAGAUAGGAUUUUAGUUCUACAUUAUUGGUUUUAAGAGCUAAAUUAAUGAUUGAUAGGGACAGUUGGGGGCAUUUUUAUUUA
rnacentral:rRNA from 1 species